UACGUAGGGUGCGAGCGUUAAUCGGAAUUACUGGGCGUAAAGCGUGCGCAGGCGGUUCGUUAAGUUCGUUGUGAAAGCCCCGGGCUUAACUUGGGAAUUGCGCUCGAAACUACGUGGCUGGAGUGUGGCAGAGGAAGGUGGAAUUCCAGGUGUAGCGGUGAAAUGCGUAGAGAUCUGGAGGAACACCGAUGGCGAAGGCAGCCUGCUGGGCCAACACUGACGCUCAUGCACGAAAGCGUGGGGAGCAAACAGG
rnacentral:rRNA from 1 species